UACGUAGGGUGCAAGCGUUUGUCCGGAAUUAUUGGGCGUAAAGGGCUCGUAGGCGGUCCAUCACGUCGGGAGUGAAAAGCUGGGGCUUAACCCCAGUCCUGCUUCCGAUACGGGUGGACUAGAGGUAGGUAGGGGAGAAUGGAAUUCCCGGUGUAGCGGUGAAAUGCGCAGAUAUCGGGAGGAACACCGGUGGCGAAGGCGGUUCUCUGGGCCUUACCUGACGCUGAGGAGCGAAAGCGUGGGGAGCGAACAGG
rnacentral:rRNA from 1 species